CGCUUCCUCUGCACGGGUUUUGAUAAAUCUCCCCCUAGGUCUCUUAAUUUCCUGCUCUCUUGGUUCCUGGACAGUAAAGCAAGCACCAGUCCUGUACAAGUUCAGUCCAGCUAGGCCAAAGCCUACAAGUCUGCAGCCACAUCUAAUCUAAUCUUAUUUCCCCUUUUACAGGAAGAAGACUACAAUGCAGGAUUCCAAUAAACUAGAUUCACACAC